AACAGGAUUAGAUACCCUGGUAGUCCACGCCGUAAACGAUGUCAACUAGCCGUUGGGAUCCUUGAGAUCUUAGUGGCGCAGCUAACGCAUUAAGUUGACCGCCUGGGGAGUACGGCCGCAAGGUUAAAACUCAAAUGAAUUGACGGGGGCCCGCACAAGCGGUGGAGCAUGUGGUUUAAUUCGAUGCAACGCGAAGAACCUUACCUACUCUUGACAUCCAGAGAAUUUAGCAGAGAUGCUUUAGUGCCUUCGGGAACUCUGAGACAGGUGCUGCAUGGCUGUCGUCAGCUCGUGUUGUGAAAUGUUGGGUUAAGUCCCGCAACGAGCGCAACCCUUAUCCUUUGUUGCCAGCACGUAAUGGUGGGAACUCAAAGGAGACUGCCGGUGAUAAACCGGAGGAAGGUGGGGAUGACGUCAAGUCAUCAUGGCCCUUACGGCCAGGGCCACACACGUGCUACAAUGGUCGGUACAAAGGGUUGCCAAGCCGCGAGGUGGAGCUAAUCCCAUAAAACCGAUCGUAGUCCGGAUCGCAGUCUGCAACUCGACUGCGUGAAGUCGGAAUCGCUAGUAAUCGUGAAUCAGAACGUCACGGUGAAUACGUUCCCGGGCCUUGUACACACCGCCCGUCACACCAUGGGAGUGGGUUGCUCCAGAAGUAGCUAGUCUAACCUUCGGGGGGACGGUUACCACGGAGUGAUUCAUGACUGGGGUGAAGUCGUAACAAGGUAGCCGUAGGGGAACCUGCGGCUGGAUCACCUCCUU
rnacentral:rRNA from 1 species